ACACACACACACACACACUAAAUAAAUAAAUAAAUAAAUAAAUAAGCGAAUGUAAAUACUAUUGAGAGUCAGCUUCUUAGAAAGUGGAAAAUAAGGAUUGUUACAACUCUGAGCCUGGGUCCUAUCUGCUACAGUGUCUUGGUAGGAGACAGCCACAAGAGACAGUUGAAAAGGUCAAAUUGAACAUGAUCCAGCUGAGAAAUUUAGUCAGCAGAGUGCUCAAUGUAAAGGGCUCCAUGGUCAGUAUCCCCAACUCUCUGUACCUAGGAAUUCUAAGCCCAUGACUGGCAGAGUGCUUGGCCUCCAGAAUGGCUUCCUUUCUGCAGGGUAGGGUCAAGAGCUGUGUGCCCUGGUCUAGCAGAUUUCCCAUGCCUGCUCCCUUCCUGCACGGGGUCUGACUGAACAGGGUGAACCUUCCAGGCAGGGUACUAGUUCCCUACUUCUCCCAGGCAGAACCCAAUGUUCUGUCAUUUCCUCCACACUUCAGCGCCUAUGGAAGACUCUUAGCAUGGACAUCUGUUGCCCAGGUUACAUGUACUGGGGGAUUAACAAGUGGCUGUGGAUCUAGUGGAAACCAGUGUGGCCUAGAUCUACAGGGUCAGCAGUGACUCCCUGUAUGCAAAGAAUGAAAGCUUCUAGCAUGAAUACAGCCAUGAAGCUGACAACUGACCCUUGACUGGCCUGAUCCUUAACACACAUACAGCACCAGUCUAAAUAUUAGGAACAACAAGAGUCUGGAGCUCCAUUUCACUGUCUGCCCCUCAUCAAGCAGAUCCCAGCAUUAGAGGACCCAGAAAUAAACAUCUCUGACAUUUAAAGUCUUUCCUUUUACUGUAUUUUUGCUUUUGAAAAAUCUCUUGUUCUUUUAUUCAUUUAUUUAAUUUAUUUACAUUUCAAGUAAACCCUUUGCCCAGUUUCAUCCCCUCCCAGAAACCCCCUAUCCUAUCCCCCCCAUGUCUCUUGUUCCUGUUUUAUUAUAUUUACCUUUAAUUUUAUUUCCAUAUUUAUUGUCUAAUAGGAUUUUAUCUCUUUUUUCUCUUCCCUUUUCUCAUGUUCUUUUUUUGUUUUUACUUUUAGUGAGCCCUACCUCUUUAAUUUUUUUUUUAAGAUUUAUUUAUUGAUUAUAUGUAAGUACACUGUAGCUGUCCUCAGACACUCCAGAAGAGGGAGUCAGAUCUCAUUACGGAUGGUUGUGAGCCACCAUGUGGUUGCUGGGAUUUGAACUCUGGACCUUCGGAAGAGCAGUCAGGUGCUCUUACCCACUGAGCCAUCUCACCAGCCCCCUCUUUAAUUUUUUGCCUCUUUUAUUUUAUUUAUAUGUAUUACUGCAUUUACUUCAACCAACUUUAACUUUGUAAUUUAUUCAAUGUUGUUUUCUGUUUUCAUUCUUUUACUUUUGUGGUUUGUUGCUUUUGUGGUUUGUUUGGGUGUUGUUGCUGAAGCAGCCAUUCUCUCCUCCAUACAGUAUGGCAUCAAGGUUGGUCUUUUAACAGAGAGCUGUUUACUGAGAACCCCUAAGUAAAGCCAAAGGAGGCAGCUAUCCCUACAGAUAUGCAAAUUAGAACCUAGAAAUAUAAGAAGUAUUAAAAGCAAUAUGACUUCCCCAUAAGUUCACAACUCUUCAGUAGCUGAGUCCAAAAUUAUAGAAAUGGUUGAAAUGCCAUAAUUAAAAUCUAUAGGUUGAAAAAUUGAUUGAGGAGAUGGAUCAGUAGUUAAAAGCACUGGCUGCUCUUGAAGAAGUCAUAAGUUCAAUUCCUAGUACCCACAUGGCUCAUAAUUGUCUGCAGCUCCAGUGCCAGACAGUCUUAUAUCCUCUUCUGGGCUCUGCUGGUAUCAGGUAUGCACACAGUACAUAGACACACAUGUGGGUAAAAGACUCAUGAACAUAAAGUACUAAAAACUGUAAAAAGUGGAAAAAAAUCAUUAGUGACUUUAGAAAUGAUUCAAAUAAACAGAGGAAUGGGGUAAAUAAAUAAACCUAAGACCUUGACAAGAAAUCCAACAACUUGGAUGAAAAGUCAACAAAAGGUGAUCGAGAUCCUGGGCAAAAUAACAAUUAACGCUAUAAUCUUAGAAAUCAAAGGUCAAUAGAUCAAAACUUAAAACUCAGUGGAAAGCAGCCAAUAGAAUAGACUAGUUACAAGAAAGAACUACAAAUUUGUUGUAAAAGAAAGGGGCCUUAGUGUCUUCAUCAGUAUUCUGUUGUUGUGAAGAGACACUAUGACCAUGGCAACUCCUAUAAAAGAAGACGUUUAACUGGGACUUGCCUACAUUUUCAGAGGUUUAGUCCAUUAUCUGCAUGACAGAAAACUUGGUAGCACACAGGCAGACAUGGUGCUGGAGAAGGAGCUGAGAUAUAGUCAUGUCUGAGGGCAACAGGAAGAGAGAGUGCUAUUGGGUCUGACUUGGGCUUCUGAAACCCUAAAGUCUACCCCCCCCCCCCCCAGUGGCUCACUUCCUCUAACAAGGCCACACCUACGUCUAAUCUUGCUUAAGUAUUGUCACUCCCUAAUGACCCAGCAUUCAAAUAUUUGAGCCUAUAGGGGCCAUUCUUAUUCAAAGUACCACACUAAGUCACAGAGAAAUGACCUAAAAAUCUUAAUGAAAUUAUAUCAGAAAAUAUCUCAAAUCUAGCAAGUCAAAUGAUAUCCAAUAAUACAAUACAAUGCAUCUAGGAUCCCUAAAAGACAUACCUGGAAGAAACUUUCUAUGUUAUAUUAAAGUAUAGAGUAUUUAAUGGAGCCUGUGAAAUUGCUCAGUGUGUAAAGGUGCUUGCUAUUAAGCCUGAUGAGCUGCGUUUGAUCACCAGAACCCAUAUGGUGGAGGAGUGAGAGAACCAACUCCCCAAAGUAGUCGUUUAACCACCAUGUGUUUCCCGUGGGACUCACUAAACAUAAAUAAGUUAUGAACAAGCAUAACAAUUAAAUAAUAAAGUACAGGACAAACAAUACUG
rnacentral:lncRNA from 1 species